UAAUGGGUCAGCGACUUAUAUUCUGUAGCAAGGUUAACCGAAUAGGGGAGCCGAAGGGAAACCGAGUCUUAACUGGGCGUUAAGUUGCAGGGUAUAGACCCGAAACCCGGUGAUCUAGCCAUGGGCAGGUUGAAGGUUGGGUAACACUAACUGGAGGACCGAACCGACUAAUGUUGAAAAAUUAGCGGAUGACUUGUGGCUGGGGGUGAAAGGCCAAUCAAACCGGGAGAUAGCUGGUUCUCCCCGAAAGCUAUUUAGGUAGCGCCUCGUGAAUUCAUCUCCGGGGGUAGAGCACUGUUUCGGCAAGGGGGUCAUCCCGACUUACCAACCCGAUGCAAACUGCGAAUACCGGAGAAUGUUAUCACGGGAGACACACGGCGGGUGCUAACGUCCGUCGUGAAGAGGGAAACAACCCAGACCGCCAGCUAAGGUCCCAAAGUCAUGGUUAAGUGGGAAACGAUGUGGGAAGGCCCAGACAGCCAGGAUGUUGGCUUAGAAGCAGCCAUCAUUUAAAGAAAGCGUAAUAGCUCACUGGUCGAGUCGGCCUGCGCGGAAGAUGUAACGGGGCUAAACCAUGCACCGAAGCUGCGGCAGCGACACUAUGUGUUGUUGGGUAGGGGAGCGUUCUGUAAGCCUGUGAAGGUGGCCUGUGAGGGUUGCUGGAGGUAUCAGAAGUGCGAAUGCUGACAUAAGUAACGAUAAAGCGGGUGAAAAGCCCGCUCGCCGGAAGACCAAGGGUUCCUGUCCAACGUUAAUCGGGGCAGGGUGAGUCGACCCCUAAGGCGAGGCCGAAAGGCGUAGUCGAUGGGAAACAGGUUAAUAUUCCUGUACUUGGUGUUACUGCGAAGGGGGGACGGAGAAGGCUAUGUUGGCCGGGCGACGGUUGUCCCGGUUUAAGCGUGUAGGCUGGUUUUCCAGGCAAAUCCGGAAAACCAAGGCUGAGGCGUGAUGACGAGGCACUACGGUGCUGAAGCGACAAAUGCCCUGCUUCCAGGAAAAGCCUCUAAGCAUCAGGUAACAUCAAAUCGUACCCCAAACCGACACAGGUGGUCAGGUAGAGAAUACCAAGGCGCUUGAGAGAACUCGGGUGAAGGAACUAGGCAAAAUGGUGCCGUAACUUCGGGAGAAGGCACGCUGAUAUGUAGGUGAAGCGACUUGCUCGUGGAGCUGAAAUCAGUCGAAGAUACCAGCUGGCUGCAACUGUUUAUUAAAAACACAGCACUGUGCAAACACGAAAGUGGACGUAUACGGUGUGACGCCUGCCCGGUGCCGGAAG
rnacentral:rRNA from 1 species